rnacentral:lncRNA from 15 species
GCAGCACUGUGUACACUGUAUUAGCUUUAGCUAGCUGUUCCUAAUAAACUGGCAACUCAGUGUAGUCAGAUUUCAAUUAAUUAAAAACACAUUUUAGAUAACAAAACAUACAUUAUAUCAUUAUAUUUGAUAACAUCAAUUAAAAAGGUGUAUGUGUCUGUUCCCACGCUGUAGAAAAUUCUUCCUCUUCUACACAGACAGUAGAAACCACACUGCGCCUUCUUCUCUAUUUCAACCAAAUUAAUCAACAUCCUCAUUCUGCAAGUCACGACGAGGCAGAGCUGGUUUUACACUCUUUUUCUCAGGGGGGCAGUCUGUGGGCAGAGGGCAGGGCAGUUAGUUGGGGGUGUCACCCAGUUGUUCAGAGGUUAUUUUAGUUACCGCAGCCUAACAGAAGAAGACGACAGCCUUUGAGCAUCCGACAGACAUCUUUCUCCAACAAACAGGUAAAAGAAAAUCUUUAAAUCAAACAUAUCCAUUAAAACUUGAAUCAUGCUUUAGUUGCUUAUGAGCAGGUGUUGCAAGAGUGGAUGUGGUAGGUAUGACACUGGAAGUCAGUCAGAGUUGGAGGUGCUGACAGAAAGUCUGUCUAUUUAGUGAAGUCAUACUAAAUGCUAAAUGCAUGACAUUCAUGGGUUCUGCAUUGAUUUGACCUAGUUAUUAACAACACUGACAGCAUUUUCAGAUUAGAGACAUUUUGAGAUCCUCUAUGCUGACGAUGUUUGUUAAAAACUCUCAGAUGGCGGGCCUGUCCUGGAUGGCUGUUAUGCUGGUCUUGUCGCUGUCUGCUGGAAACAGUUUGGCUGUGGUGGACCAGAAUAAACUUGCAAAAAUUGUAUCUAAAAUCGUGAACAGGUAUAGACCACACUACGAGGUCAAUGGUAAAAGAAGAUCACCCAUGUUCAGUCUGGCUGUAACCGUUCCAUACAACAGGGAAAGCUCAGAGUAUGAUACCGAUCGACUAACAGACUCUGCUGUUGAUGUAAGAAAUACGAUUGUAGAUUGUGAUGUGUACACUGGCACAAGGAUGGUUGCAGCUACAGUUCUGAGAUGGGACAAUGUUUUGGAUCAGUGUCCUGAUAGACCUGUGCAAUGGAAGGACGUUCUGAGAAAAUGUCGUCGAAGGUCAAUGACAUGGGCUGAGCUGGACAAGAUGCGUCAGGAUAGAAGGACUGAAGAACAGUGCCGUACUGCAGUUUGGGAGGGUAGAGCUGAUCAUGCAGAGUACCGUACUCUGCAGCACUUCAACAACUUGGUCAACAAUCGUAACGAAAAUGAUUUGUUGCUUUUCUACGUUCUUGCUGCCCCAUGUGAUCAAAAAUGUGCAAGCAACGGCCGCUUUGGCAUUCUGGAAAGCAUAAAAGAGAUUAAGAAGUGGAAGAAUUAUGCUGUUGUGUUUUCCAAUGUGUUCCGGCCCCGUGAUGGUGAACCCAUACCUGAAGGGAACCGUAUGGCCCUUGAGAAGCUUGGGAAUUCAGUUGGUCUGAGCAACAUAUUCCGUUGCAACAUAGAAGAUACACCUGAGUGCAGAAGCUGCUCGGCUGGUAAUAAAGUUGACCCCUAUUGUUUCGCAGACGAUUCCCAAUCUGGUUUCAACUUGCCUCAACGAGGCAGAAGUGAUUAUCGCUCACAAAGUGGUGACAGACACAGACACAAAGAUAGAAAAGUGGGUGGAUUCGAAACAGGGGAAAGUUGGGGGAGAAGCGGAAGAGUGAGCAAGCACAGAGCAGUGGGAAAAAGCAGACGACGAAGUAAAGACAGAAGAGAUAACAAGAGCAGGGAUAGGAGUAAAAUCAGAAGAGAGAGCAGGAAGAGAAAAAGGAGUAAAGACAGAAGAGAUAGCAGGAGCAGGGAUAGGAGUAAAAUCAGAAGAGAGAGCAGGAAGAGAAAAAGGAGUAAAGACAGAAGAGAUAGCAGCAGUAGAGGAGGAGGGCGGUACAGAGGAUACUCAGGAUGAGCUUCAAAUCCAUGUACACAUAAACUCUGAGAACUAAAUAAUGCAUUUACAUUCAAACUGUUCUCAGUUCACAUCUAUGUGAGAUCAUUUGCAAGCUGCUUUGCAUUAAAUAGUUAACAAAUGAAAAAUCUAGAAAUAACUCAGUGGCCUUGAAAUGCACAAUGCUCUAAGAUUGAGAUAUGCUCCAAAAAUCAUAGCUAAUUUGUGUAUUGUAUGGCUUCUAUUUGUAGGCCUCAUAGUACUUCCCCCAGGGGUGGAGCUUCUGCCACCAGGGUUAACGCAGGUGUUUUGCAUAUUGCCAGUGAUUAGAACUGGUUAUUCGCACCAGCCUGUCCACUGUUGUCGGAGGUCACACAGACUGAAAGCUUGCUAAAUAAAGUGAUAUGUGGUAUACACUUACGCUUCCAGCACCUUAGCAAAGAUUUAGUCGCGUGGAUCCUCCAUUAUUAAACUCAACAAGAAUGAUAUCAUGUGUUUAAUUAACACCAAAUAAUUUGUCAAACAUCACCAUUUUAAGAGAGACAGCAUGUUCCAACAUUAGUAUGUGAUAAAUUCAUGUCAGUAUUUACAGUACUCCUGUCAUUGUCUACUUCUGUAAAUCCCGGUUGUUUUUGUUCUUUCUGAUUAAAGCUUGGCUCAGCAUCCAAUCUGCUCUGUCUGUGUGUCAUUUUGCAGUAACACAAGUAUAAUUUUACAGGUUUGGAUCCUGUAGGCAUUAUAUUUUAACGUAUUAUUUAUCUCUAUUCACUUCUUCCCUCUUCAGAUCAAGGCAUGGUGCCACACUGAAGGUUUACUGAAGGUACCUUCUAAUGUGAGAGCACUGCCACACAUUAUAUCCUGGCCCCGAAACCAACUGUUACUGUGAUAUUAAAUUGAAACUUUAUUAUUUUUAAGUAUAUAAAAUAGGUCUAAUAUAAUAUUCAUAACUGUUUUCAUUAGUGUAUAAUCAGACACUGGCUCUAGAAAUGUGUCACACUAAAGUGUCUGUGUCUGUUCUCACACUGUAGAAAAUUGUUCCGCUUCUACACAGGCAGUUGAAACCGCACUGCGCCUUCUUCUUCUCCAUUUCAGCCAAAUUAAUCA